rnacentral:rRNA from 1 species
GGACGGGUGAGUAACACGUGGGAACGUGCCUUUUGGUUCGGAACAACUCAGGAAACUUGAGCUAAUACCGAAUGUGCCCUUCGGGGGAAAGAUUUAUCGCCAUUAGAGCGGCCCGCGUCUGAUUAGCUAGUUGGUGAGGUAAAGGCUCACCAAGGCAUCGAUCAGUAGCUGGUCUGAGAGGACGACCAGCCACACUGGGACUGAGACACGGCCCAGACUCCUACGGGAGGCAGCAGUGGGGAAUUUUGGACAAUGGGCGCAAAGCCUGAUCCAGCUCUGCCGCGUGAGUGAAGAAGGCCUUCGGGGUUGGUUUUAAAAAAAGGGCCUUUUUUUUUUCCCCCCCUUUU